UCAGGAUUGAACAAGAAACAGACAGCAAGGGUUGUCAGGUCAGAAACAGAACGACACACAAACACAAGAAACUUCACAGGCAGAUCAACAUGCAAUUUGAAGACGUGUGAUGAAAUACAGAGAUGUGAAGUCGUGUGUCUUUCCAGAUGCCCAAAUCAUUCCCCCUUAAAAGAUGAGCCUGAAGAGGAGAUUUGGGAAGAUGCUGUUUCAUAAGUCGCUUUGCCAGAUCACCUGUGGUUGGGAUGUCUGCUAACAAGAUGCCUUGCUGGUCUGGGCGAGUUUAAAGUCUUACACAGACAGUCCAGAGGUUCUGAAGUCCAUCUUCGAUCUCAUUGAUGCUGUCAUCGUAUUAAGUACAGCAUGAGCCAGAAUGGAUGGGUGGUGGUGGCCAUAAGAAGACUGUCAACUAAAUCAACAACAAAAUUCAU